rnacentral:rRNA from 1 species
UACGGGGGGGGCAAGCGUUGUUCGGAAUUACUGGGCGUAAAGGGCUCGUAGGUGGCCAACUAAGUCAUACGUGAAAUCCCUCGGCUUAACCGGGGAACUGCGUCUGAUACUGGAUGGCUUGAGUUCGGGAGAGGGAUGCGGAAUUCCAGGUGUAGCGGUGAAAUGCGUAGAUAUCUGGAGGAACACCGGUGGCGAAGGCGGCAUCCUGGACCGGCACUGACACUGAGGAGCGAAAGCCAGGGGAGCAAACGGG